UGCGAUGUCCCAAUGGACAUGUUCUCCUGU
rnacentral:piRNA from 1 species